rnacentral:lncRNA from 1 species
AUGCCGUCCCCCCUUAAAAAAAAAAAUAAGACCAGAGAGCUUGGGGAACCCGCGCUUGUAUUAGUCAACGUGAACAUCAACGAGUUUGCGGGCCAGGGUACCUCAGCGGCUGCAGUAGAUAUGUCAGUCCCGGAAAGGGGGAACCACAGGCGUAGUCCCCUGUAUUGCCCACCUGCCCCGGAAGUAGUGUUGCGUUGGAGCCUUGCCUUCCGGGGCGGAUUGUCUGUCGUUGCAGCAGCUGUAAGAAGGGGAGGCCAUUUUCUGUUUCUAGGAAGAGUAAGAGCAAAGGGGAGAGGGGAAAAGGAAGGAAGGAAGGGCUCAGCACCUCCCCGCCGAGCCGUGGACAGAGGGGGCACUUUCGGCAGGCGGGUGAGGUCGCUGAGGGCCCGGAGAUGUUUUCCCUGUCGAGUACGGUGCAGCCCCAGCUUUCCGCCCUCUUACUUGAGUAACUUCCUAUUGCAUCCUCGCUUACAUCUGGAGGAGUCCUACCAGUUGUUUGAAAAAGAAGUCUGACUUGACCUGUUGAAAACAGUAUUAAACCUUUUAAAAAACUGAACUUCAAGAAGUUUAUAUCAAGAAGACUCAAUUUUAGGAGAAUGUAUCAUCAGCUGGAUGGAGAGUUAGUGGUAUGUGAUGUUGGUAGAGAUGGUGAAGAUAUUUUGUGUACUAUAGGCAGGCUUAACUGGGCUCAUAUAGGACCCUUACGCAUUUUAUGCUUUGAAAGAUGGUAAACAUUUGUAAUUCCUGGUUGCUUAAUCCAUUGAAUAUGUCUGAAUUUAUUUUUUUUAAGGUUUUAUUUAUUUAAUUGAGAGAGAGAAAUAGACACAGCAUGAGAGGGGAGGGGAUCAGAGGCAGAAGCAGGCUUCCCGCCGAGCAGGGAGCCCGAUGUGGGACUCGAUCCCAGGACCCUGAGAUCAUGACCAGAGCUGAAGGCCGAUGCUUCACCCGACUGAGCCACCCAGUCGCCCCAUGAAUAUGCCUGAAUUUAAACUGAAGUUAGGAAAGAUACAAAAGGUGAACUUUUUCAUUGAGAAGAGAUUAAACCAUCUUUUAGCAGUUUAAAUCUUUUUGAAUGAGAAGAGCUAUAACUGAUUGAAAUAAAGCUUUUCGAAGAAAUAGGCAGAAAAUAUGUAUCUUAAUAAUUUUUAUCCUGUAGUUUUAAAAGAUCUUGUUGUUUCUUUCUCACUGUAAAAGUAAUACAUGCUCAUUGCCAAAAAUACCAAAAAGAAAAAUACAGAUAAGAAAAUAAAAAUCCUCCAUAAUCUCAUUGCACAGACAUCAUAUUGUAGAAUAUAUUCUUUCAUACUUUUUUUUUAAGAUUUUAUUUGACAGAGAGAGACACAGCGAGAGAGGGAACACAAGCAGGGGGAGUGGGAGAGGGAGAAGAAGGCCUCCUGCCGAGCAGGGAGCUGGAUGCAGGACUCCUGGGACCAUGACCUGAGCCAAAGGCAGACGCUUCAUUACUGAUCCACUCAGGCGCCCCUCCUUCGUACUUUUUACCUCUAUACAAAUAUGUGUAUGCAUACUUUUUUUAGAGGACUUUAUUUGAGAGACAGAGAACAAUGGGGGGAGGGGCAGUGGGAGAGGGAGAAGCAAACUCCCAGCUGAGCAGGGAGCCCAAUGCGGGACUUGAUCCCAGGACCCUGGGACCCCGACCUGAGCCGAAGGCAGAUGCUUAACUGACUGAGCCACCCAGGCGCCCCCUUUCUCAUUCAUUUUGCUCAAAAUUUCUUUAUUCAUUUAAGAAAUAACAAUAAUAGUUGGUGGCUUUUUUUCCCCCUCUGGAAGUCAUCAGUUAAGAGCUCAUGUUUGAGUAGGGCAGUGGCAGGGGAAAUAGAAGAGACAGAAAAGAAGUAUAGUUAAUAUGAUUUCAUGAUUAUUGAAUGUAAAAAGUUAGGGGAGAGAGGAAAUCUAAGAAGAUUCAUGUUUCCAGGUUGUACACUAGCAUUUAAAUGGGACAGGAAGAAAGUAGGACUUUAUUGGAUGAAGAGAGGAGAGCGGUGGGAAUAGGGAAGACCAGGUUUUUUUCUGUAUAUGUUGAAUUUGAUGGAAUGUCCACGUAGUAUAUUUUCAGUAAUUGGGUAAUUGAAUACGAGGAGUUUCUAGCUGGAGAUAGAGCUUCUAGGUUGGAGGUGCAGAUUUGAAGAAUUAUUAGGCGAAGUCAUAGCUUGGACAAAGAUUGAGCUUGUCCAUGGUGGAGAAACAUAGAGAAUGAGAAGAAGGCCAGUGAACAAACCCUGGGAAUACCAAUAUAUAAGGGGUGGAUGGAGGGGUAGGAGUUAGUAGAGAAGACUGAGGGGUGACUGGGGAAAUGUAGGAGAGGAAGUAGAGGAAGUGAUGUUGAAAAAAUUUAAAAAAAUAUUUCAAGGAGGAGUAUUAAGUGUAUAAAAUGAAAUAACAAAAGAAAGUUGGAUUUAACUUUUAAAAGCUCUUUGGUGGUAACCUUUUCAAAAGAAUUUUUGAGUUGUAAAAUCUAUUAUUUACAUGACUGGUACUUUCUGUGUCCAAAUAUGGAAAAAUAACACAUCAAGUAAGGUCCUACGUGACUUUUUGUAACUGCAGUAUCUACCCGGACAGGGUCAAGGGAAAAUGGUCUAGCCUGGUGAGUAGACUUGCCAACAUUUUUCCAUAAUUGUCAAAACCUAGGAGUCAAGUGCGAGGAAAAGUGUUGUCUUUCUUACCUGUCUCUUGUGGAGAUACUUGAGUUUUUCCUCAAGUCCUUGAUACACUCUCCUGGAUGAAUACGAAAACAAAACAGCAACAGGCAGGAAGCCACUGUCGGGCCUAUCUCUGAUAUGGAAUCCUGAUGCAGCUGUAUUUUGAGAGUUUUAAAUUUUGAUCAGAAAUAGUUGACAGACCUGCAGUUUGGAGCCUUUUGACCUCUUUUAAAUAUUUUAUUGCAGAAAACUAGUAUAAUGCCAAGGAGAAAAUAUAAGGUGAUAUGCUGAAUAUACUAGUCUCACUAGUUUAGGAAUUCGGUGUCAGUAAAAACAGUCAAUACCUGACUAUUUUUGUUAGUGCUGUCUCCCUUGAUCCUCUUUUCAUUUGCCUUCUUCUAAUGUCUCCACUUUUACUGCUCCUUUCUGAAUUUCAUCUCUAAAGAAAGCGCUAAGGAAAAUUGUCUUGGAAUCCAACAGUAUGAGAACACACUUUUACCGUAUGUAUGUUUGACAUAUAUGUCUAUUUCCUUCUAAGGUCAUGGGCUACCUAAUUUAAGUGUAUCUCAUAUUUUAUUAGUUUCUUGUGCUGAAUUUCUUCGUAUCUGUAUCACAGUGACAGAGUUACUGAUGAUGGUCUGCCAAGACUGAAAGCAUUUUCUGGAUUGUCAGAAAUUUUUCUCUGAUAUAGUUUUAAUGUGACAUGUUUUUAUAUUUUUUUCAGAAAUUGGUAAACUGUGAUUUAACAAGAAUAUAUGGCCAAUUAUAUUACCAAGUUUUUAUCCAUCUCUGUAUAUAAGAUAACUCACUCUGUUUUCCCCCAAAUGAGCCCUGUU